GAUGAGCGCUGGCGGCGUGCUUAACACAUGCAAGUCGAACGAAGCACCUUAUUCUGAUUUCUUCGGAAUGAAAAAUUUGGUGACUGAGUGGCGGACGGGUGAGUAACGCGUGGGUAACCUGCCUCAUACAGGGGGAUAACAGUUAGAAAUGACUGCUAAUACCGCAUAAGACCACAGCACCGCAUGGUGCAGGGGUAAAAACUCCGGUGGUAUGAGAUGGACCCGCGUCUGAUUAGGUGGUUGGUGGGGUAACGGCCUACCAAGCCGACGAUCAGUAGCCGACCUGAGAGGGUGACCGGCCACAUUGGGACUGAGAGACGGCCCAAACUCCUACGGGAGGCAGCAGUGGGGAAUAUUGCACAAUGGGGGAAACCCUGAUGCAGCGACGCCGCGUGAGCGAUGAAGUAUUUCGGUAUGUAAAGCUCUAUCAGCAGGGAAGAAAAUGACGGUACCUGACUAAGAAGCACCGGCUAAAUACGUGCCAGCCGCCGCCGUAA
rnacentral:rRNA from 1 species